GAUGAACGCUAGCUACAGGCUUAACACAUGCAAGUCGAGGGUCAGCAUGAACUUAGCUUGCUAAGUUUGAUGGCGACCGGCGCACGGGUGAGUAACACGUAUCCAACCUGCCGAUGACUCGGGGAUAGCCUUUCGAAAGAAAGAUUAAUACCCGAUGGCAUAGUUCUUCCGCAUGGUGGAACUAUUAAAGAAUUUCGGUCAUCGAUGGGGAUGCGUUCCAUUAGGUUGUUGGCGGGGUAACGGCCCACCAAGCCUUCGAUGGAUAGGGGUUCUGAGAGGAAGGUCCCCCACAUUGGAACUGAGACACGGUCCAAACUCCUACGGGAGGCAGCAGUGAGGAAUAUUGGUCAAUGGACGAGAGUCUGAACCAGCCAAGUAGCGUGAAGGAUGACUGCCCUAUGGGUUGUAAACUUCUUUUAUACGGGAAUAAAGUGAGGCACGUGUGCCUUUUUGUAUGUACCGUAUGAAUAAGGAUCGGCUAACUCCGUGCCAGCAGCCGCGGUAAUACGGAGGAUCCGAGCGUUAUCCGGAUUUAUUGGGCUUAAAGGGAGCGUAGGCGGACGCUUAAGUCAGUUGUGAAAGUUUGCGGCUCAACCGUAAAAUUGCAGUUGAUACUGGGUGUCUUGAGUACAGUAGAGGCAGGCGGAAUUCGUGGUGUAGCGGUGAAAUGCUUAGAUAUCACGAAGAACUCCGAUUGCGAAGGCAGCUUGCUGGACUGUAACUGACGCUGAUGCUCGAAAGUGUGGGUAUCAAACAGGAUUAGAUACCCUGGUAGUCCACACAGUAAACGAUGAAUACUCGCUGUUUGCGAUAUACAGUAAGCGGUCAAGCGAAAGCGUUAAGUAUUCCACCUGGGGAGUACGCCGGCAACGGUGAAACUCAAAGGAAUUGACGGGGGCCCGCACAAGCGGAGGAACAUGUGGUUUAAUUCGAUGAUACGCGAGGAACCUUACCCGGGCUUGAAUUGCAACUGAAUGAUGUGGAGACAUGUCAGCUGCAGGGCCGUUGUGUCGGUGUUGCUUGGUUGUGGUCUGCUCGUGC
rnacentral:rRNA from 1 species